GCUGUUAACGUUCCGCCUGUGGUUUUGUUUUGUUCCGUUUUUAUAGACAGCGGCAUUACAUAACCGCGUACAGAGAGCAGCCGCGGGAUUACACGAUGCAGAUUAGCGGCGGCGUCGAUUCAGCAGAUCGCCCUGCGUGUGUGUGAGGGGCAGCACGGCCGUGCGGGUGCCGUUUUAGAAGAAUAGCUUCUGCCCAAGAAUUAGAAUUGUUGGAAUAAUAUGCGAACAGAUCAUGAAGAACUCUGUGGCACCAGUUACGGAUCUUUUUGUCUAAAUGGAGGCAUUUGCUAUAUGAUUCCUACUGUACCCAGUCCAUUCUGCAGGUGUAUUGAGAAUUACACAGGAGCACGCUGUGAAGAAGUUUUGUUGCCCAGCAUCAAGUCUCAAACAAAAGGUGACCUGUUUGCAGUUCUCUUGGCUUCACUUCUCCUUCUCGGAGUUCUUUUAAUUGGAACAUUCUACUUCCUUUGCAGGAAAACCACCAUUGCAAGGACAGGUUCCUCAGAGUGUGGUGCCCACCUGGUUGAGACUACAAGCAGCAAUGGCUGCAACAAAAUAAUAACGGAGUAAAGCAUUAGAGUGGAAGAAUGGUGAGAAAAUGAUGUGCAGAGCAACACUAACAGUUGUAGAGGUUGAUAUGGGUUACGUUACUCGGGCAAAGAGAAGCCAAGUGAUAUGGUCUGUGUCUCUUUCUCCCCUGAUGACACAAAGAGAAUGGCUGGGUACUGAGAGGCAUAGAAAACAUGAUUUGAACAGUCCUACUUUCAUCUCGUUUCUACCACUGGAGGUUGUGACUAGGAAAAACAAAAUGUAUUUAUACAGCAGCACAUCACCUAGCAGCCCACUAUGUGGGAUCCACCAUGUUGUACUGAAGAAAAAGCUUGAGAAAAUUUCUGGAAGUGAAAGGGAAGAAAAUGCAGAAUGCAGAUUUCUCAUCUCUGAAAUAAGGGAAAAAAAGGUGUGUAAAAACAAAGGUGGAAAGGAAAAUGUGAAUAAGAGUCAGUUCCUGGGGUGUCUACUACAUGCUCUGGCAUCAGAAAAGGUAGUGUGUAUUUUACACACACGUAGAUGCAAAUACAGCAAGACAAAGAAGAAAA